AUGAUCUUCAUCCACGUCUUCAUCUGCACGCUGCUCCUCUGGGUUCAAGGAUCCAGAGGUGCAGUUACGGUGACUCAGAGUCCUGAAGUGGAAUCAGUUCCUCCAAAAAACACCGUCAGAAUUCAGUGUAAAUUCAACACUGCUGUUGAUGGUGACUGUGGUCCAGAAGGUGAAUCCUACUGCCUGAACUGGUACCUGCAGAAACCUGGAGAAGCUCCUAAACUCCUGAUUAAAUGGGUGAAUCAUUUACACGGAGACACUCCAGCUCGCUUCAGUGGAAGUGGAUCGAAAUCUGACUUCACUCUGACCAUCAGUGGCUUCCAGCCUGAAGAUGCAGGAGAUUACUACUGUCAGAGUUACCACAGUGGUGGAGUGUUCACACAGUGUUUCAGUGUGGUACAAAAACCUCCCUCAGUGAGAGCGACUGCAGUGUUGAAGCGACUGCAGCACUAA